GUUUGGUGGUAGAGGAGAUUUAAUUACCUACUCAAGAGUUGGCUAUAUGAAAAAAAAACAAUUAAUUAUGGUAACCUCACUCCAGUACUGAACUGAUUGAGUUCUUCCCCCUUCUGGAAGUCAGACCCAGUGGCCAAGCCCCUCCUAUAAUCUUUCUGUUAACUCAAUGUCAGAUCAAAGUAUACUCUGAUAUUCCCUAAAAUAUCUAGACACUUGAAUUUAAAAUAUAGAGCCACCCUCUCAUUGCUUAAGCCAUAUUAUAGCUUCAUGUACUGUAAAGGCAGGGAUGUAUAUGAUUACUUAAGACCACUAAUCUCAGUGGGAUUUCAGGACAGAACAUCAGUUGGUAAGUUAUACCAGACUAGGGGCUCACCCCUCCUUAGAUUGAAGUCCAAAUAAAAAUCUGCAUCAUUGGAUCAAAGGCCACAUAUGUGUGAUCAUCAUCAAUAAAUGAUCAUAAAGUGUGUAUGAACUGCUCUUGCCAUCCUCAUAAUAUGUAACUUCAUGACAUCAUAUCUCUAGAAAGGUGUAAUACAAUGCAAAAGAGCAAGAGGGGUAAGGCCUUGAAUCACCACUAACUUCUGACCUCAGCAAGUACCAGUGGUGUAACAAUAAUCUCGUAAGUGAGAAGGUAUAGAAAAUGUAUUCACAAGUAAAUUCUAAAGUGUGGAGCAAGUGCAAACUGUUGUUGUAUAUUAAAGGCUGGGAAGAAACAAUAUUGAAGAAAUAAUGAUUUUAAUGCAUUUAGGGCUUUCCCCUUUGAUAUUUUAUAAUUUCUUAUGAAUAAAUCAUGAUGGAAGAGAAUAAAUCUAGAGAUACAGAAUCAGAAUAAAUAAAAAUCUAACACUGGAUCCACAUCUUUGGCCAAUGAAUAUAACCACCUCAGACCUCAAUUUCUCUAUACUUAAAAUGAAGACAACAAUUAAUAUUCUUAAGUGUGAAGUAUUCAAUAGAUUUUAAAAUGGAAUCACUACUGUCAACAACACCAGCCCAAACCAACUCUGUCUAGUCCACACUUUGGUGUUGCCUCAGAAUGUACUCAGUAGUUACCAAAAAGUAAUUCUUACAUAUUGACCUAUGUGAAAUUAGCAGGGAGAGAAGCAUGGGAUUAGCACAUAGUCCCAAGACCUCUCUCCUCCUUCAGAGUGCACCUCAUCAAACAAUGCACCCCAAAUUAAGAAUCAGUGUUUCAUUCCAGAACCCAUGAUGUUGCUACCAUCACAGUACCAAAUUGAGAUGCUAUGAAGUCAUUGCACUACCAGUAGGUUACUGCUCUUUUAAAGUUACUGCUUUUAAAUCGUAAAAUAUAUCCCCCGUUCUGCAGUCAUCCCACUUCCCUAGAUGUUGCUUAGAAGCAGAUGAAGGCUCGGACGUCAUCAUUUUGCUGCCCCUAUUGACUCUGCACGCAUUUGAUUUCAGUACCUUAGACAGCUACCUGAUGGCUUCCUGGUAGGCGGGAGCAGCCUCUUCCCUUCCCAUCCUUCCGCUGCAGUCGGUCGGCUUAAUGACACCCUGGACAGCAUCCCUUCCUUCUCUACUGCCGCCAAAGUAAAUGUUGUGGGAACGGGAUCACUGAUACCACUCAGAAAGGAA
rnacentral:lncRNA from 1 species